GUCGCUACCCGGGGACUUGGUAGCCUGGGCGCCUGGCCCUCCCGAGCUCCGUUGGUAGCCGCAGCCACACCUACACAGGUUUCUUACUUGUGAAAGUUCAGUUCACCUAAUCCUAUGAAGUUCACUCCUCCCUAGUGCUUCAGUUCAGACUUGUGAAGUACGUGCAUGAGCAGAUGGUGCUGAUGCUGCUCUACCCACAGUAAGCCUUCAAUUGCUUAGAGUAGAUGUAAUACAUGUAUGUUGUUGAUGCGUGGGUGAUAGAAACAGUUCCAUUCGGACAUGCUUAAUUUGUUAUUAAAACAUAGUGCUACUUGUAGUUCACUUCUCCUAAUUCAUGAAGUUCACAUCUCUUGCUA